rnacentral:lncRNA from 10 species
CCAGGGGAGACGUGGUCAAGGGCUCUUUCCCAGGGCUCGGGGCCGUUUGCACGUCCUUCUUCAUGAGGCAUCUGUUCAAGCCUCUGCCCAUCUUCUACGGGACGAGCUGUUUCUUGUUCUUUGUUGGAGCCCGUGGGGAAGUCUGGAUCUGAGCUCCGGCUCAUUUCCCUCCAUCCACCGUCUCUGAGCCCAGCUACUGCUCCGAGAGUGACGAGUACCUGAGGGCUGUGA